AUACUUUUAUUUACAUUGAAAUGAAGAGCAAAUUUGUAUAAUACGUAUUAUUGAUUCUAGAAAUAUAGCAAAUUGAAACAUCCAAAUUUAGCAAAACAGCAUGUCGCUGUUGUAAAAUUCUCAUGAAAAAAUAGAAUGUCUAACCUUCACUACUGGCAAGAUUCGUUCAUGUAGAUGUAGUUGAAGAAGAGACAGUGUCAUACACAAACGUAGAAAAAGUUCUGAAAAGGAAAAAGACUCCUAGUAGAUUAUAAUUCAAAUCAAAUCAAACCAAUUAAAUUCAAUAGAUCGAUGUCUUGAAACAUUAAUUCCUAUAAGGUUGAAAAUAGUAGCAAUAUAACGCAAAAAUAGCGAGUCGUAAUAGCAAGUAAAAUGGUAGUCAUUAUAAAGGGUUAACUGUAUUUCAAGUAUAAAGAACGGAGAAAGUUGGAGCAAUGGCAAUAACACAUCGAGGAGUAAUUUAGGAAAGUAGUGAGAAAGAUGUUAGAAAGGAAAUUUAGUAAUUUGUAAGUAAUGAUUUCAGAACUUGGAACGUGAAAGGGAAAAAGAUAUUUUCAUCAUAAAGAAAAAUUUGCCCAUCGUGAAAUAGAGAAAUAGUGAGAAGAAAACCACCACCGAAAUAGCGAGACCCGCAGUAUGUUACUUCACGAGUCUCGCUAUUUUAGGAUUGCAUAGGUUAUCGGAUGGAAUCCAGUAAACAAAUGGGUAAGGAAAAGUGCGAUCAAUGAUGAGUGGGUUGGGUUACAAAUCAAUAUAGUCAGGUGAAAUUAAUUCGUUUCUCGAUAUAAAAGCAAUUGAGAAAGGAAUUGGAUAAAAUUUACAGAGAAU